rnacentral:rRNA from 1 species
UACGUAGGGCGCAAGCGUUAUCCGGAAUUAUUGGGCGUAAAGAGCUCGUAGGCGGUUUGUCGCGUCUGCCGUGAAAGUCCGGGGCUCAACUCCGGAUCUGCGGUGGGUACGGGCAGACUAGAGUGAUGUAGGGGGAGACGUGGAAUUCCCUGGUGUAGCGGUGAAAAUGCGCAGAUAUCAGGAGGAACACCGAGUGGCGAAGGCAGGUCGUCCUGGGCGAUUAACUGACGCUGAGGAGCGAAAGCAUGGGGAGCGAACAGG